UCCCGCUGACGAGCGGCGGACGGGUGAGUAAUGCUUAGGAAUCUGCCCAGUAGUGGGGGAUAGCCCGGGGAAACCCGGAUUAAUACCGCAUACGUCCUACGGGAGAAAGCAGGGGAUCUUCGGACCUUGCGCUAUUGGAUGAGCCUAAGUCGGAUUAGCUAGUUGGUGGGGUAAAGGCCUACCAAGGCGACGAUCCGUAGCUGGUCUGAGAGGAUGAUCAGCCACAUCGGGACUGAGACACGGCCCGAACUCCUACGGGAGGCAGCAGUGGGGAAUAUUGGACAAUGGGGGCAACCCUGAUCCAGCCAUGCCGCGUGUGUGAAGAAGGCUUUCGGGUUGUAAAGCACUUUCAGUAGGGAGGAAAACCUUAUGGUUAAUACCCAUGAGGCUUGACGUUACCUACAGAAGAAGCACCGGCUAACUCCGUGCCA
rnacentral:rRNA from 2 species